AACGCACAUUGCGCCCGCCAGCACUCUGGCGGGCAUGCCCGUCCGAGCGUCAUUUCAACCCUCAAGCCCAGCUUGGCGUUGGGGCACCACGGCCGCCGUGGGCCCUGAAAGACAGCGGCGGACCCGCCACGACUCCGGGCGCAGUAAAAACCUCGCCCUGGGCGCCGCGGUGGGAUCCUGCCUAACCCCCCCAUAAACACCAGUGGUUGACCUCGGAUCGGGUAGGAAUACCCGCUGAACUUAA
rnacentral:misc_RNA from 1 species